UACGUAGGGUGCGAGCGUUGUCCGGAAUUAUUGGGCGUAAAGAGCUUGUAGGCGGUUUGUCGCGUCUGCCGUGAAAAUUCGAGGCUCAACCUCGAACUUGCGGUGGGGUACGGGCAGACUCGAGUGUGGUAGGGGGAGACUGGAAUUCCUGGUGUAGCGGUGAAAUGCGCAGAUAUCAGGAGGAACACCGAUGGCGAAGGCAGGUCUCUGGGCCACUACUGACGCUGAGAAGCGAAAGCGUGGGUAGCAAACAGG
rnacentral:rRNA from 1 species